CUGUAUUUGAGAUCUGAGCCUUUGGUACCUAGGAGGAGGGUGCCUUAAAGGAGCUGUAGCUACAGGCUCACUGGAACCGCGAGGAAGUGAGGAGACUCGGCCAAACCCCGCCUGAUGGUGUCUUCCCUCUUGGCUGGACCCGAUGCCCCGAGCAGCCGAUGGGAGACCCCCGCCCGGUUCUCAGGCUUCUUUAUGAAUAUCACCUCAUUGAUCCUCACAGCUACUCUGAGAGGUAAGUGCUAUUAUUAUUCCAAUUUUACAACUGAGGACACUGAGGCAUAGAGAGUUUAAAGGACUUCCCUGGAGUUA
rnacentral:lncRNA from 1 species